rnacentral:rRNA from 1 species
UGGGGAAUUUUGGACAAUGGGGGAAACCCUAAUCCAGCCAUCCCGCGUGUGCGAUGAAGGCCUUCGGGUUGUAAAGCACUUUUGGCAGGAAAGAAACGUCAUGGGUUAAUACCCCGUGAAACUGACGGUACCUGCAGAAUAAGCACCGGCUAACUACGUGCCAGCAGCCGCGGUAAUACGUAGGGUGCAAGCGUUAAUCGGAAUUACUGGGCGUAAAGCGUGCGCAGGCGGUUCGGAAAGAAAGAUGUGAAAUCCCAGAGCUCAACUUUGGAACUGCAUUUUUAACUACCGGGCUAGAGUGUGUCAGAGGGAGGUGGAAUUCCGCGUGUAGCAGUGAAAUGCGUAGAUAUGCGGAGGAACACCGAUGGCGAAGGCAGCCUCCUGGGAUAACACUGACGCUCAUGCACGAAAGCGUGGGGAGCAAACAGG